rnacentral:rRNA from 1 species
UGGGGAAUAUUGCACAAUGGGCGAAAGCCUGAUGCAGCGACGCCGCGUGAGGGAUGACGGCCUUCGGGUUGUAAACCUCUUUCAGCAGGGACGAAGCGCAAGUGACGGUACCUGCAGAAGAAGCACCGGCUAACUACGUGCCAGCAGCCGCGGUAAUACGUAGGGACCAAGCGUUGUUCGGAUUUACUGGGCGUAAAGGGCGCGUAGGCGGCAUGACAAGUCACUUGUGAAAUCUCUGGGCUUAACCCAGAACGGCCAAGUGAUACUGUCGCGCUAGAGUGCAGAAGGGGCAAUCGGAAUUCUUGGUGUAGCGGUGAAAUGCGUAGAUAUCAAGAGGAACACCUGAGGUGAAGACGGGUUGCUGGGCUGACACUGACGCUGAGGCGCGAAAGCCAGGGGAGCAAACGGGAUUAGAUACCCCCGUAGUCCCUGAGCGGGCUGGCAAGGCGCAU